rnacentral:rRNA from 1 species
UAGCAUAUCAUAGCGGAGGAAAAGAAACCAACAGGGAUUGCCCUAGUAACGGCGAGUGAAGCGGCAACAGCUCAAAUUUGAAAUCUGGCUCUUUUAGAGUCCGAGUUGUAAUUUGCAGAGGGCGCUUUGGCUUUGGCAGCGGUCCAAGUUCCUUGGAACAGGACGUCACAGAGGGUGAGAAUCCCGUACGUGGUCGCUGGCUAUUGCCGUGUAAAGCCCCUUCGACGAGUCGAGUUGUUUGGGAAUGCAGCUCUAAAUGGGAGGUACAUUUCUUCUAAAGCUAAAUAUUGGCCAGAGACCGAUAGCGCACAAGUAGAGUGAUCGAAAGAUGAAAAGCACUUUGGAAAGAGAGUCAAACAGCACGUGAAAUUGUUGAAAGGGAAGCGCUUGCAGCCAGACUUGCUUACAGUUGCUCAUCCGGGUUUUUACCCGGUGCACUCUUCUGUAGGCAGGCCAGCAUCAGUUUGGGCGGUAGGAUAAAGGUCUCUGUCACGUACCUCCUUUCGGGGAGGCCUUAUAGGGGAGACGACAUACUACCAGCCUGGACUGAGGUCCGCGCAUCUGCUAGGAUGCUGGCGUAAUGGCUGUAAGCGGCCCGUCUUGAAACACGGACCAAGGAGUCUAACAUCUAUGCGAGUGUUUGGGUGUCAAGCCCGAGCGCGUAAUGAAAGUGAACGGAGGUGGGAACCCGCAAGGGUGCACCAUCGACCGAUCCUGAUGUCUUCGGAAGGAUUUGAGUAAGAGCAUGGCUGUUGGGACCCGAAAGAUGGUGAACUAUGCUUGAAUAGGGUGAAGCCAGAGGAAACUCUGGUGGAGGCUCGCAGCGGUUCUGACGUGCAAAUCGA